rnacentral:lncRNA from 1 species
AGGCCCAAUUCCAAUUUCUAAAGGUGUUCCCAGUUUAGAAACAGAAGGGAUGUAAAUUUCAUCAAAAAUCAAGGGGGGUUACAGUAAUUUGCUCUAAGGUGAAUUGAGAAGCUCAUCUAAUUAGAAAAGGACAAAUAGUACGAGACUGUAAAAGAGAUGCACUAGGAAAUUUCCUUCAGAGAAGUUUCCGUGGGAGGCUGUAAGAACCUUUAUUGAUGCUGUGCAGAAAGAAGAAGGUUCCUAGAAAUGAUCUGUGCUUUUGGUUGAUCGA